GACGAACGCUGGCGGCGUGCUUAACACAUGCAAGUCGAACGGAAAGGCCCUGCUUUUGUGGGGUGCUCGAGUGGCGAACGGGUGAGUAACACGUGAGUAACCUGCCCUUGACUUUGGGAUAACUUCAGGAAACUGGGGCUAAUACCGGAUAGGAGCUCCUGCUGCAUGGUGGGGGUUGGAAAGUUUCGGCGGUUGGGGAUGGACUCGCGGCUUAUCAGCUUGUUGGUGGGGUAGUGGCUUACCAAGGCUUUGACGGGUAGCCGGCCUGGGAGGGUGACCGGCCACAUUGGGACUGAGAUACGGCCCAGACUCCUACGUGAGGCAGCAGUGGGGAAUAUUGCACAAUGGGCGGAAGCCUGAUGCAGCAACGCCGCGUGCGGGAUGACGGCCUUCGAGUUGUAAACCGCUUUCGCCUGUGACGAAGCGUGAGUGACGGUAAUGGGUAAAGAAGCACCGGCUAACUACGUG
rnacentral:rRNA from 1 species